UCUUUGGCCAACUUGAUUUUCAGUAUUUAGCGGACAGCUAACAAUUUUAUGAUCCAUCUGACCACAUUUGAAACAAGCACCUGUAUUCCAAUGGCAAUCCUUGUCUGCAUGAUUUUUACCACAUCUGGAGCACCGCUCACCAUCAAUCUAUUGAGUCUUAUUAUCUAUUGCUCCCUUAGUUGAACUUUUGAUAUUUUUAUUAUUCUGUCCUUGUGUAUCAUUUGAUUUUACUCUCUUUCUUUGUUUUCUUUCCCUUUCUAUGCGUUCUUCAUUGACUUCUCUUUCAAUUAUCAGAGCUUUGUUUACCACAUUUGCAUAAGUUGUCAAUUCAUACGGAACCAUUUGUUUUUGAAUCUCAGUUCUCAGUCCCAUCUCAAACUUGUGAACACGUUCUUGCUCACCAUCCACUAAUCUCGGAGCAAAUUUUGCUAACUCUAUAAAUUUUGCUUCAUAUUCAGUCACACUCAUAUCCUUUUGCGUCAAAUAAAUAAACUCUUGCUCUUUCUAGAUCCUUAUACUCCGAGAAAAAUACUGAUCAUAGAAUGCAAUCCAAAAUCUUUCCUAGGUAAGUAUUUCGCCGUCUUGUUCAUACUUGCGCUAUAGUCGCUGACAC
rnacentral:lncRNA from 1 species